AUAUAAAGUGCUAAGUUAAAAAGUGAUAGAUACAUCAAAGUGAAAAUACGUAAUGGAAAUUGAUGACUGAACAAGCAAAAUGUAUGAUACCUAGGCCUACCCAUACAUAUACAUAAAAGGGAAAACAGUUAGUCUCAGAGUAGUCACCCGCUCACUAAACCAAACCAUGUUUUCCAGACUAAACCAAAAAAGAUAAGAUGAUAAUGGAGAUCUCUAGCAAGAUCCAUGAGAAGAAAUCUUAUGGCACUUGUCAU
rnacentral:lncRNA from 1 species